rnacentral:rRNA from 1 species
UACGUAGGGUGCAAGCGUUGUCCGGAAUUAUUGGGCGUAAAGAGCUCGUAGGCGGUCUGUCACGUCGGCUGUGAAAACCCGAGGCUCAACCUCGGGCCUGCAGUCGAUACGGGCAGACUAGAGUUCGGUAGGGGAGACUGGAAUUCCUGGUGUAGCGGUGGAAUGCGCAGAUAUCAGGAGGAACACCGAUGGCGAAGGCAGGUCACUGGGCCGCAACUGACGCUGAGGAGCGAAAGCAUGGGGAGCGAACAGG